rnacentral:rRNA from 1 species
CUGGAGACAGGUGCUGCAUGGCUGUCGUCAGCUCGUGUCGUGAGAUGUUGGGUUAAGUCCCGCAACGAGCGCAACCCUUGCCUUUAGUUGCCAGCAGUUCGGCUGGGCACUCUAAAGGGACUGCCGGUGUUAAACCGGAGGAAGGUGGGGAUGACGUCAAGUCCUCAUAGCCUUUAUGACCAGGGCUACACACGUACUACAAUGGCCGAUACAAAGGGCAGCGACACUGCGAGGUGAAGCCAAUCCCGUAAAAUCGGUCUCAGUCCGGAUUGGAGUCUGCAACUCGACUCCAUGAAGUUGGAAUCGCUAGUAAUCGUGGAUCAGCAUGCCACGGUGAAUACGUUCCCGGGCCUU